GAUGAACGCUAGCGACAGGCUUAACACAUGCAAGUCGAGGGGCAGCAAGAAUUGUAGCAAUACAAUUUGUUGGCGACCGGCGCACGGGUGAGUAACGCAUAUGCAACCUACCUAUCAGAGGGGGAUAGCCCGGUGAAAGCCGGAUUAAUACCGCAUAAAGCAGGGGUCCCGCAUGGGAAUAUUUGUUAAAGAUUAAUUGCUGAUAGAUGGGCAUGCGUUCCAUUAGUUAGUUGGUGUAGGUAACGGCUCACCAAGACAUCGAUG
rnacentral:rRNA from 1 species